GAUGAACGCUGGCGGCGUGCCUAAUACAUGCGAGUCGAGCGAACGGACGAGAAGCUUGCUUCUCUGAUGUUAGCGGCGGACGGGUGAGUAACACGUGGAUAACCUACCUAUAAGACUGGGAUAACUUCGGGAAACCGUAGCUAAUACCGGAUAAUAUUUUGAACCGCAUGGUUCAAAAGUGAAAGACGGUCUUGCUGUCACUUAUAGAUGGAUCCGCGCUGCAUUAGCUAGUUGGUAAGGUAACGGCUUACCAAGGCAACGAUGCAUAGCCGACCUGAGAGGGUGAUCGGCCACACUGGAACUGAGGCACGGUCCAGACUCCUACGGGAGGCAGCAGUAGGGAAUCUUCCGCAAUGGGCGAAAGCCUGACGGAGCAACGCCGCGUGAGUGAUGAAGGUCUUCGGAUCGUAAAACUCUGUUAUUAGGGAAGAACAUAUGUGUAAGUAACUGUGCACAUCUUGACGGUACCUAAUCAGAAAGCCACGGCUAACUACGUG
rnacentral:rRNA from 1 species